rnacentral:rRNA from 1 species
UACGUAGGGUGCAAGCGUUGUCCGGAAUUAUUGGGCGUAAAGAGCUCGUAGGCGGCUUGUUGCGUCGACUGUGAAAACCCGCGGCUCAACCGUGUGGUCUGCAGUCGAUACGGGCAGGCUAGAAUUCGGUAGGGGACCACGGAAUUCCUGGUGUAGCGGUGAAAUGCGCAGAUAUCAGGAGGAACACCAGUGGCGAAGGCGGUGGUCUGGGCCGAUACUGACGCUGUAGAGCGAAAGCGUGGGGAGCGAACAGG